CCUACGGGGGGCUGCAGUGGGGAAUAUUGGACAAUGGGGGAAACCCUGAUCCAGCGACGCCGCGUGAGUGAAGAAGUAUUUCGGUAUGUAAAGCUCUAUCAGCAGGGAAGAAAUUGACGGUACCUGACUAAGAAGCCCCGGCUAACUACGUGCCAGCAGCCGCGGUAAUACGUAGGGGGCAAGCGUUAUCCGGAUUUACUGGGUGUAAAGGGAGUGUAGACGGCUGUGCAAGUCUGAAGUGAAAGCCCGGGGCUCAACCCCGGUAUUGCUUUGGAAACUGUGUAGCUAGAGUGCAGGAGAGGUAAGUGGAAUUCCUAGUGUAGCGGUGAAAUGCGUAGAUAUUAGGAGGAACACCAGUGGCGAAGGCGGCUUACUGGACUGUAACUGACGUUGAGGCUCGAAAGCGUGGGGAGCAAACAGGAUUAGAUACCCCUGUAGUC
rnacentral:rRNA from 1 species